rnacentral:rRNA from 1 species
GGGACGGAGAAGGCUAGGUGGGCCUGGCGACGGUUGUCCAGGUUCAAGUGCGUAGGCUUAAGAGUUAGGUAAAUCCGGCUCUUUCUAAGGCUGAGACACGACGUCGAGCACCUACGGGUGUGAAGUCAUUGAUGCCAUGCUUCCAGGAAAAGCCUCUAAGCUUCAGAUUGUAAGGAAUCGUACCCCAAACCGACACAGGUGGUCGGGUAGAGAAUACCAAGGCGCUUGAGAGAACUCGGGUGAAGGAACUAGGCAAAAUGGUACCGUAACUUCGGGAGAAGGUACGCUCUUGAUGGUGAAGUCCCUUGCGGAUGGAGCUGACGAGAGUCGCAGAUACCAGGUGGCUGCAACUGUUUAUUAAAAACACAGCACUGUGCAAAAUCGUAAGAUGACGUAUACGGUGUGACGCCUGCCCGGUGCCGGAAGGUUAAUUGAUGGGGUUAGACUUCGGUCGAAGCUCUUGAUCGAAGCCCCGGUAAACGGCGGCCGUAACUAUAACGGUCCUAAGGUAGCGAAAUUCCUUGUCGGGUAAGUUCCGACCUGCACGAAUGGCGUAAUGAUGGCCACGCUGUCUCCACCCGAGACUCAGUGAAAUUGAAAUCGCUGUGAAGAUGCAGUGUACCCGCGGCUAGACGGAAAGACCCCGUGAACCUUUACUACAGCUUGGCACUGAACAUUGACCCUACAUGUGUAGGAUAGGUGGGAGGCUUUGAAGCACGUACGCCAGUAUGUGUGGAGCCGUCCUUGAAAUACCACCCUUGUAGUGUUGAUGUUCUAACGUCGACCCCUUAUCGGGGUUGCGGACAGUGCCUGGUGGGUAGUUUGACUGGGGCGGUCUCCUCCCAAAGAGUAACGGAGGAGCACGAAGGUGGGCUAAUCACGGUUGGACAUCGUGAGGUUAGUGCAAUGGCAUAAGCCCGCUUGACUGCGAGAAUGACAAUUCGAGCAGGUGCGAAAGCAGGUCAUAGUGAUCCGGUGGUUCUGAAUGGAAGGGCCAUCGCUCAACGGAUAAAAGGUACUCCGGGGAUAACAGGCUGAUACCGCCCAAGAGUUCAUAUCGACGGCGGUGUUUGGCACCUCGAUGUCGGCUCAUCACAUCCUGGGGCUGAAGUCGGUCCCAAGGGUAUGGCUGUUCGCCAUUUAAAGUGGUACGCGAGCUGGGUUUAGAACGUCGUGAGACAGUUCGGUCCCUAUCUGCCGUGGGCGUUGGAAGAUUGAAGGGGGCUGCUCCUAGUACGAGAGGACCGGAGUGGACGAACCUCUGGUGUUCGGGUUGUGUCGCCAGACGCAUUGCCCGGUAGCUAAGUUCGGAAUCGAUAACCGCUGAAAGCAUCUAAGCGGGAAGCGAGCCCUGAGAUGAGUCUUCCCUGAUACUUUAAGUAUCCUAAAGGGUUGUCGGAGACUACGACGUUGAUAGGUCAGGUGUGUAAGUGCUGUGAGGCAUUGAGCUAACUGAUACUAAUUGCCCGUGAGGCUUAACCAUACAACACCCAAGGGGUUU